AUUAUAAAUAAUAAUUUUAUUUAAUAUAUAUGUGCAUACAAAUCUUACUUAUUGCUGCGGCAUCGCGCAGCUAUUUUAUAACUUGUAAAACAUAAAAUAAUGAACUGAAAAUGAUAAUCAUAACAUGCCGACUCUUUUCCUGUUACUUUCCGCCAAAUUCAAGAACAAGCAAUUUGGAAUGGUAAAGAGGACGGACUUAAUAAGCAGAAUCACAAAUUCAACAAAUUUAGAACACCCGUUACAAUUUUCAAUGGCCAGCAAUUUCAAUCCCAUCAAUAUAACAAGCAGAAUCAGCAUUAAAAGGGAGGAAUUCGAGAAUUGAAAACUCAAAUCACAAGUCAAACCUGAUAUACAACCUCAGUGUCAGCAAUGUUGUAUUUUCGGCGCAGGAAAUGGUAGAGAGGGACGGAGCAGCAGCUAGAGAGGAUGGAGCAGGAAGAAGCAAUCGAUUAUCAAUCCUGCGAUUCUGGAAGGAGCAGCAGCUGCACAUGCGGCAAGAGAAGCGGCGAGAAGAAUAGAGUUAGUAGCUUGGACUUGGAGGAAGUGACGACGCCAAGGAUGUCGUGAAGGGCACAAAGCUGCGGGAUAUUGAUGGGAUUUUAGGUUUUGUUUUUUCACACGAAAAGGAUGUAGUUUAUUAAAAGACAUUUUAUAUAUUAUAUAAAAUAAAUUUGAAAAAAAAAUGCUAUAUAUGUGAUAUUAACAUAAAUUAAUUAAUAAAAAUAUUUAUAAAUUUAGGACUUUGUUAUAAAAUAUUAAAGAAAUUUUAAGAAAUAAAUUAAAAUUAAGAAAUGAUAAUGAAAAAUUACUGAGGCUGUUUACUUUCAUCCAUCCAAUUUCAAUUUGAUUUUUCUUCAACUUCGGUUUAACCGAUUUAACUCGAUUUUAAUAUAACUCAAUGAUUGACAUUUUUAAAAUUUAUAUCUUUUGCUUUAAAAAAAAAUCUAAUUUUAAUUGAAAAUAACAAGACUGAUUAAUUUUAACCUUAUUUUAAAUCUAUUUUAACAUAUCAAUUCAAGUCAAUUUCUGUCCAAUUCUACUUUCAAAUUAGAAAAUCUGAUUUCGAACCAAAAUCAAACAGUAGCCAUGCCUAGUCUACUCAAUGACAUGUAUUGUAGCUGUGGCGGAUCCAUUUUAGUAAUUGUGAUUCUAUCCUGCUACUCCUCUAGAAUGGUAAAUCGAGGGAGAAGGAGAAUUAAACUUGCACUGUUUAAAUAAAUGAUCUCUGAGGACUAAUCUUUGUAAGUGCUAAUUAAUUAAAUAGUUUAAUGGAGCCCCAUAAAGCAUGGGUGCAUUCCUUGACUGCUUUUGGUUAUAGCUAAAAUAUAUUCAUGGGCAUCUAAGUUAAAAAUUUUGCACACUGCAAGAUCAUUCUAUGAGAAAGCUAUCAUAAACACAGGCAUUACAAGUUCUAAUGAGAGGAAGAUUUUCUUUCCACAAGUACAGAUCUUUCAAGCCAUUUCUUGGCAUUCUCUCCGCGUUUUUCAUUUCGGGGUGAAAGCAGCAAAAACGGUGGCGUGUCCAGGAUCAGCAAGGUGGGCAAAGAGGUUGUCAAUGGGGCCAGUCCCUGUGUAGAUGUGUUGGAACCAAGCACCCAUCACAGCCAACAUUGCCAAUCUCCCAUUCUUGAUCUCCUUUGUCCUCAAUUCCUUGAUCUUCUCAGGGGAACCAGUUCCCCAUCCAAGAGGAUCAAACCACAGCCCACCUGGGUAACCAACAUCAGUCCCAGUGAGCUUGUUGUUGGGGAAGAUGGGGUCUGUGUUAACACACCCUGGCUUGAGAAUAUCUGCCCAUCUUCUCCCCUCGGCCCAGCCGAUAAAGAUGAGCUCAGUGAUGAAAAGGGUUGUGGUAUCAGUAAAGUAUUCCAGCUUUCCAGCAUCGUACCAUGAUGGAGUGUUUAGGAUGCCAAUCUUGGUCAGGAAUUCUGGAAUGAAAAUACCAGCAGCACCCAACAUUGCCCAUCUGCAGUGCACAAGCUCUGAUUGUACAUUCCAUCUCAGGGUUUCAGGAUCAGAACCAAGACCCAAGGGAUCAAAACCAAAGUCUCCUGGGAGACUGCAUUUGAAAGAUUCAAUUCAAGAAACACAUUAGAAGCAUAUCAUUUAAGCCCUAACAUGUGUAUGGAAACACAGAGAAAAAACCCAAAGAACUAAACCUUCCAUCGAGCCAUGGGGGAGGGGUGCUGCCUGGGAACCAGAGGGGUCUAUCAGGGUCGGCUGCAACACAAACUGUAACAGAUCGUGAAGCAACUGGUGAUGUGUAGUUUCUCAGUCUCAAUUUCUUCCCGCUAAGGAAAGAAGCCUUUGUUGCCCCUCCUAUGGAUCCAGUCUUCUGGGAACUGCAACAUUGACUUUGCAUCAUUUACUUUGUACUUCUCAUAUUAUUACCUUUCCAAUGUAUCAGUAAUUACGGAUUCAACUAUUAUUAUUGCCAAUCCAUCUACAUGAUAUUAUAAAAAGUGAUUAUAAAUGCAUAAUGUAGCUUAGAAAAUUAGGUAAUAGCAUCAUAAAUUACAGUUGCUGAUAUGGGUUUUGAGAGAACUUGCCUGGGAGAGAAUA
rnacentral:misc_RNA from 1 species